CGGCAGUCCCCACCAGCCGCAGCACUGCCCGCAGGAGCCCGCAGCCACCUCGGUGCCAUCCUUGUCCCUGCUGUACCUGAGGUGGAAGACAUUGGUGCUGCCCUGGAACCAGGAGUAGGCAGGGGCCGGUUUUGCAGCAGGGCAGGCUCCUGACUUAGGCACCAUCCGGCACUCCAGCUCUCCCCAUCCUGUCCCGUGGGAGGAUUUCGGUGCGUGGCUGCCACAGGCUGUGGGCGCCGGGCUCAGCCCAAGCCACCGGCCAGCUGCCAGCCCUUCCCCAUCCUCGAGGGACACUCCCGUUUGUCUUCGCCUCUGUGCUCGCAGGGAUCCCUCAAGGCUCAACCUUCAAGCGACCCGGCAUGGGCUGAGGUGGUGGCGAGGCAGCACAAGAGGCCUCUGGCAUCCCUGUGACACCAGCCCCGGCGCGGCACAGCAGGCAGGACAGGAGAGCCAGGGCGCGGCGGGAGGCAUCGCCACGAUGCCACAGCCUGGGCACAACCAGAUGGGCACUCGACUAUCCCCAUUCCCAAGCUGAGGGUGUAGCCAGAGGCCACGGUGAUGGGGGCAACGGCUGCCUGGGGAGAUUCUCCUGCCCUCCAUCCCGGAGGGUAUCCGUCCUGCUGCGGAGCUGGGGGUCCACAUCCCGUCUGGUUCCUCCUCCAGCCAUCCCUAGAGCUGCUGCACCAGGAGGGGACUCUGCCCCGCAGCACAACCAUCCCCAAUCCCAUCGCAUCCCUUCCUACAGCCCUUCCCACCACCACCCGGAGCCGAGGGAGAGAACCCUGAGCUUUCCCACCACCCUGGGAGCGUGAUUAAUGCGGUCUGACAGCAGCAGCCCUCGGCUGGGGCCCAGCCACGGCGAGCCGGAAUGCCGGACGAGUGGGAAUGCUGGACAAGCAGGAACACCGGACAAGCAGGAUCCGGCCUCGCCUCCAGCCCCUGCUCCCGGUACCGGCUCAGUGCCGCAGGACUCACCGAUGUACUCUGGGUCCACACGCGGGCAGGGGGGUCCGUGGUCCCCCCCGCCGGCCCGGCCUGGCCCCCUGAGCCUGGGAGACUAUUAAGGACAGAGCUAAAACCAACGUCUGGGGGUGACGGAGCUCCUGGCAGAGCCUCCACCCCACCACCUUAGGGCACAGACGCGGCACUCAUUCCCAGCGAGCACCAGGCGUUCCCGGCCAUGUGCCGCACGCCUGGGAACGGGGACGGUGACACUUCUUGCACUUAGGAUUUAAAUGCCACCAAGCAUCGACGUCCCGGCUCGGCCCCCGGGUGCUGACGCGGUUGCCAUCCUUGGUGUGGUGUCACCGCUUUGGCAAGGGACCAGCUUUGGAGAUGCGUGUCGGUGACCGAAGCGGAGCCACUCAUGCGCCCAA